UAAACUAGGAUUAGAUACCCUAUUAUUUUAAAUGUUAAUUUUUAUACUAAAUUAUUAGUAGUUAUGUUCUUAAAAAUUAAAAAAUUUGGCGGUAUUUUAGUCUUUUCAGAGGAACCUGUUCUAUAAUUGAUAGUCCACGAUUAUAUACAUUUUAUUUAUUAAUUUACAUAUCAUCGUAGUUUGAAUAUUUUAAUAGAAAAAUAAUAUUCAAGAUUUUGGAUUAAAAAUUAAAUCAGAUCAAGGUGUAGUUUAUAAUAAAAUAGAGAUGGGUUACAUUAAAUUUAUUUUAGGAUUAGUAUUUUUUAAAAAUAUAUGAAUUUGGAUUUGAAAGUAAUUUUUUGAAUUUACUUAAAAUGAUUAAAGCUCUAAGAUAUGUACACAUCGCCCGUCGCUCUUAA
rnacentral:rRNA from 1 species